GUAAAAACCCUAUUUGUAAACAACCAGUCCUUUAACUCGGGUCUGCGUUAUAAACACGGAGCGCUUGGAAGACCACGAUGUCAUCUUCCUUCUGUCAGGAGUAUCAAAGUGAAGCUACAGGAGUUUCAUUAACGUCAACAACUUGGACCGAACGGUUUGUUUUGCUUGAUGAAGAGCAGGAAGGGCAGCCUGGAGAGAAAGAGAAGCCGGGUUGAGCCCACUACCAUCAUCCACGUACCACGAGGAAGAUGAGGGAGAGAGAUGAUCCUACCAUUAAAGAGGUACUUUUAAGUUACAUACCAGAAACACCAUUUUAUAUAAUGUGCUAAAUAUACAUUUUAUUACAUCCCCAAAGUACGCUUGCUGAAAUACAAGUUUAUAUCACACUGAAAGAAUUUUGAUCAAUCAUGCUUCCCUGCUGUGAUUGUUUAACUGGGAAAACAACUUUUUCCACAGGAAGGCAAGUAAAUUUAAGGAAUACAUGUGCAAAGUUUUCCUCUGUUAUGUAUAAUGAUGACCCCCAUCAAACAUAAUGUUAGCAAUAUUUACACCUUUUAAUUUAUACUGUUUAUUUCUGUCUACAUGUGUGAAUUUGCCUUCAUUAGUUUCAGAAAAGAGCGAUGAUGUAUCGGUCAGUGGGCGGCAGCACGAGACUCCGCAAACUAGUCUGUAAGCAAAGCAGACGAAGGCAUCGAGGUUGCGGCCUGCCAUCAUUGUUAUUUUGCUUAAGGGACUGAAUAUGUUUCAUGUAGAAAUAUUAGCAUUUCCCUUAUAUCUACCAAAACUGCUUGUUUCACAGACUGCAGUUUUGUUUUGAUCCGAUGUGGUGUGCAAAUACAACCGUAUCUGCAAUGGGUUGUGGGGCAUUAACAUUUGUAACUCUAAUUUUGUUUUGACAGACUGUGAAAAGAACGUUGAGAACAUCACCACUCUACAGGAAGACACAGUCCAGUAAUGGGUGUCAGAAGUUCAGUAGUGAACGACAGGUACUGUGGGAAAAUGUGUGUCAUUGUUGUACAAUGUCCUUUGACUCUGUUUAAACAAGGUCAACACAAAAAGGUUUGAUUGUAAACUGAUAUCGGUACGAAUUCAUGUUAUUCUCCUCGUCAAAAGAAACAAACAAUCCAAAUUACCUGCAGAACACCCUUGAUGGACGCUUCAGCUGCAUCGUCAGACUGGCCAGACAGCAAGAUGCCAACUUUAAUGCCAAUUUAUUUGUGUAACAUUCCGUGACCAAAUGUAUAGAUAACUUUUUGUAGAUUGUAAAAAUAGAUAACCCAUUUAUUACAAAAAAACUACACUAGAAUUACCACACUGCGUUGUAUGACUCCGCUAACCAGAGCAGUGUCCGUCUACAUAUUUCUACAUAUUUUCUCUCAUAUAAAUGACACUGUAUCUCUUGACAACUGAAACCAUAAGAUGAGGUCAGUGUGGCCUUGACCUUUUUACUUUAAGACAAAUACAAAGUUAGACAAUCCGAAAACAUGCAGUUAUGCCUCCGGCGACUCGCUAUUGCAGAGGCAUUAAAACCGUAGUGUAGUAGAUUGGAUUUUAUUGGUGUUACAUUGGACAUCUUGUAUGGGUACACCAAAAAAUAUAUUUGGUUUCACAUUCUAGAUGGCAAUAAGCAGAGUCAUCAACUCAGGAAAAAUAUUUCUGUAGAAAAGAAAGCCUUGUAUGUGUGUAUGUAUACAUACACACAAAUGCACAAUUGAGACGUUUUUGUCUUUUAUCAUAUAUUCUCAGGCAGUACUGAUGCAUUUACUGAGAGGGGACGUGAGGGCCUACUCUGCGUGCUCAGAGUUCAAGCCCAGCAGGCUGCAGCGGGCCUGACAUAUUCUGGAACAGCAGCACAGUCUUUAGAUGACUCCUCUGAAGAUGAAAACAUGGCGAGUUCUUCUCAAGAGAAGCAGUACAGGUGUGCCUCAGCUCCACGGUCCCUCCUGCAGCCUCCGCUCCUGAUGCUAACCUCAUGUCUCCAUCACACCAAGCAGCAGACCUGGAUUGACAGACCUUUCUCCAGAGCUGCCCCCUCCCUCUGAAACCCCCCUCUCCAAAACACUAUUUGUGUAGUUUUUAAAGUAUUUUUUGCAUGAGAAUUGUUGAUCAUAUCAUUUCCAGCAGAUGCCUUAAUAUAAUGUUUGUGCACAAUAAAUGACAUUGAUCAUAACAUAAUGGUAUUUCCUUGCACUUCUACACCAUGAUAUUGGCAGAUAAGAUGCUGAUUACAUUAAAGCAGUGAAUGCUCUUCUUUAAGCAACAUAAACAAACAAUGAUCCAAUGGAUCUGAAGUAGAAUGGGCACAUUACAUUCUGUAGAGA